rnacentral:rRNA from 1 species
UACGGAGGGGGCUAGCGUUGUUCGGAAUUACUGGGCGUAAAGCGCGCGUAGGCGGCUUAGCAAGUUAGAGGUGAAAGCCCUGGGCUCAACCUAGGAAGUGCAUUCGAAACUUCCGAGCUAGAGUUCUGGAGAGGAAGGCGGAAUUCUCGGUGUAGAGGUGAAAUUCGUAGAUAUCGAGAGGAACACCGGUGGCGAAGGCGGCCUUCUGGACAGUGACUGACGCUGAGACGCGAAAGCGUGGGGAGCAAACAGG